GUCUCGUUGGUGUAGUUGGUUAUCACGUCGGUCUCAUAAUAUGAUCGCGCAUGGCGCGAAUAAUUGAUAUCUGGAGGUCGCCAGUUCGAUCCUGGCACGGGACA